AUAGCGUAUAUUAAAGUUGUUGCAGUUAAAACGUCCGUAGUCAAAUUUUAGUCCUUAGGCGAGAUGGCCUGGUCUUCAUUGAUCAAGCUCGUUUCCGCCGGGACUUUUUUUUUGGUUAUGCUAUGAGUGUCUUCGGAUGUUUGUAGUCUCUAGCCAAAUAAUUACCAUGAGCAAAUCAGAGUGUUUAAAGCAGGCUUUCAAGCUUGAAUGUGUUAGCAUGGAAUAAUGAAAUAUGACUUUAGUCCCUAUUUCGUUGGUUCAGGAACUUAAGUAAUGAUGAAUAGAAACGGUUGGGGGCAUUUGUAUUUGGUCGCUAGAGGUGAAAUUCUUGGAUUGAC
rnacentral:rRNA from 1 species